CGUUAGCUUGGGUUAGCGCAGUUCUGUCGAACACAGGCGGCUCCAUCGAUAUUAGCCACCGUCCUCGCCGUAAUAAAAUACGACUACGGGCGGUACGAGGUCGCCGACUUAAAAGCUUAACAGUCAAGGUUCCCGACGGUUCGUACACUCCCCGAGUGAAACUUCCGAACAGUUUGAUGGGGCUAUUGAAUUCGCAAAUUGGGAGACUGAUCAAGUAUUUGUAAAGUUUCGGUUAUAGUAAGUAAUUGGAAAAAUAAAUACAAUAAAUUGUUAUACGGGCGUAGUAGUUAAGCAACCGGAAUUUAAAGCCAAAGCACGGCUAGACUUGGUCACAAACCUUCACGCCAAACUUACGCUACCUUCGAAUGUUGCAUAAGAGUUUGAAUAUUUUAGCAAUGUACGCAGGGGGUGCCUAAACCGUUACCGUAAACAUAACGUUGUUUGAUUAACCUCAAAAUAACGUUCGCGUUCAAACCGCCGUGGACUCUAAACUAAGCGCCCUUUAUCAAAGCACCCGAAAAAACCAGGUCGACUCACCACCAGAUCAGUCUUACAAGGUGAGGUGGGAGUUCAGGUCUUGCUGAUCCAAAUUGGGGCCAGUCUGGCUGGAGGACAGCUGGCGUCGUUUGAUCUGCUUCACCUUUCGCAUCUGGGGCCUGGAGAAUGGCAGCAGUUUCUCACAGCUGGGCGCGGUCCUGUUGCAGCAGCUUAAAACUGAACUCGCUGAGAAUCUCCAAGAAGGCC